GGAGGGUUGGAACAGACGAACUCCUAGAACUGCUAGAAGAGGAAGUGUCGGAGGAUAUUUUGAAUCAAGUGAAAAUCCUAAAAAUCCCAAAAAAAUCAAGAAAAAUAAGAAAUAGGGCGCUCACAGAAAACCAAAUAGGCAGAAUGUAAAGGAGAAAAAAUGGAAGAAGAACAGCAAGAAAAAAAAAGAGAGUUUUGGAACUAACCUAGGCUGGUUCGAGAGAUGCAAAGAUGCAGAGAUGGGGGUCAACUCGAAGAAUGCCUAAGGCCAAGAGGGACGCUGGAGAAGAACGAGACUCUCGGGA
rnacentral:lncRNA from 1 species